GGUUGUAUUUACUUCAGAAUCAAAUCACAGUUUAUCUGUUAAAUCAUAUAAACAGGUGUUAAUUUCAGAGAAACCUUUCUACUCUGUCAAAAUAUCUAGAGUGUUAUAAAUUAAUCUAUAGUGCAAAUAAUCGAAAUUCGACAUUUUUGACAUAAGAAACAGAACGUUAAGACGAUGGAUAAAUUAAUCGAUAUGGAAGAGCGAUAUUAUCAGUUUCUGGAAAAUAAUGACAAUGAGCUAGUUAAAAUUAUGCGGUCCAAAGUAAUGCUUUGACGCGAAUAGCGGCAGUGAUGGAAAGGUGGUACUAGCACCAAAGAGUCAUAACGAGCGGAAAAUCAAAUAACUUCACCAACAACAGGAGCAUAAAAAGAGACCAUGUGCAGCAAAACCUUGGUGUGCAAAUAAAAUACAUAGAAUAUCUUUUGGAUUUAAAUAAAAGAAAUAAAAAAAUUUCAGCAUAUAAAAUACUGACGAGACUUUCCAAAUGCUACUAAAUUUUGUCGAAAAAGAUUUGAAAAAAUAACCUGCAAGAUGUUACACUUUUAUUUCUUCAGAGAAACAACUAUAUGUGACCUGACUAUAUUUGACUACUAAAGAAGUGAUCAAACGUUAGAGUACCCAUCGCAUUUAUAUAUAAUAUUUUGUAUAUCUGAAGUUUUCAAUGCGAUAUGGGACAACAUAAAG